CCCUUUUCCGAGACCGCUCACCACUCCUCCAGUGACCAGCACGUACUUCAUCUCUUCUUUCUCUCUCUCUAUCUCUAUCUCUAUCUCUACACCUACACCAGCAACACAAACAUCAGAGAGGCGAGGGCAAGGCCAAAAAAAAAA